rnacentral:rRNA from 1 species
CAGCCGCCGCGGGAAUACAGAGGGUGCAAGCGUUAAUCGGAAUUACUGGGCGUAAAGCGUGCGCAGGCGGUUAUAUAAGACAGAUGUGAAAUCCCCGGGCUCAACCUGGGAACUGCAUUUGUGACUGUAUAGCUAGAGUACGGCAGAGGGGGAUGGAAUUCCGCGUGUAGCAGUGAAAUGCGUAGAUAUGCGGAGGAACACCGAUGGCGAAGGCAAUCCCCUGGGCCUGUACUGACGCUCAUGCACGAAAGCGUGGGGAGCAAACAGGAUUAGAUACCCCGGUAGUCCCUGUCUCUUAUAC